rnacentral:rRNA from 1 species
AGAGUUUGAUCAUGGCUCAGAAUGAACGCUGGCGGCGUGCCUAACACAUGCAAGUCGAACGAGAAAGCUUCUUCGGAAGCAAGUAUAGUGGCGAACGGGUGAGUAACACGUAAGAAUCUACCUUCUAGUAAAGAAUACCUUCGAGAAAUCGAAGUUAAUACUGUAUAAGCCCUACGGGGGAAAGACGGCCUCUUUGCUGUCGCUAGAAGAUGAGCUUGCGGACUAUUAGCUUGUUGGUAGGGUAAUGGCCUACCAAGGUAAUGAUGGGUAGCCGGCCUGAGAGGGUGUACGGCCACACUGGGACUGAGACACGGCCCAGACUCCUACGGGAGGCAGC